CAGGCUAACACAUGCAAGUCGAGCGGAUGAGUGGAGGCUUGCUCCAUGAUUCAGCGGCGGACGGGUGAGUAAUGCCUAGGAAUCUGCCUGGUAGUGGGGGGACAACGUUCGAAAGGAACGCUAAUACCGCAUACGUCCUACGGGAGAAAGCAGGGGACCUUCGGGCCUUGCGCUAUCAGAUGAGCCUAGGUCGGAUUAGCUAGUUGGUGAGGUAAUGGCUCACCAAGGCGACGAUCCGUAACUGGUCUGAGAGGAUGAUCAGUCACACUGGAACUGAGACACGGUCCAGACUCCUACGGGAGGCAGCAGUGGGGAAUAUUGGACAAUGGGCGAAAGCCUGAUCCAGCCAUGCCGCGUGUGUGAAGAAGGUCUUCGGAUUGUAAAGCACUUUAAGUUGGGAGGAAGGGCAGUUACCUAAUACGUAAUUGUUUUGACGUUACCGACAGAAUAAGCACCGGCUAACUCUGUG
rnacentral:rRNA from 1 species